CCAGACUCCUACGGGAGGCAGCAGUGGGGGAUAUUGCACAAUGGGGGAAACCCUGAUGCAGCAACGCCGCGUGUGGGAAGAAGGUUUUCGGAUUGUAAACCACUGUUCUUGGUGAAGAUAAUGACGGUAACCAAGGAGAAAGCUCCGGCUAACUACGUGCCAGCAGCCGCGGUAAUACGUAGGGAGCAAGCGUUGUCCGGAUUUACUGGGUUUAAAGGGUGCGUAGGCGGAGUGUCAAGUCAGCGGUAAAAUUUCGGGGCUCAACCCCGUCGUGCCGUUGAAACUGACGCCCUUGAGUGAGUGAGAAGUAAGCGGAAUGCGUGGUGUAGCGGUGAAAUGCAUAGAUAUCACGCAGAACGCCGAUUGCGAAGGCAGCUUACCGGCGCUCAACUGACGCUGAGGCACGAAAGUGCGGGUAUCGAACAGGAUUAGAUACCCCAGUAC
rnacentral:rRNA from 1 species